rnacentral:rRNA from 1 species
GGUUAAGCGACUAAGCGUACACGGUGGAUGCCCUGGCAGUCAGAGGCGAUGAAGGACGUGCUAAUCUGCGAUAAGCGUCGGUAAGGUGAUAUGAACCGUUAUAACCGGCGAUUUCCGAAUGGGGAAACCCAGUGUGUUUCGACACACUAUCAUUAACUGAAUCCAUAGGUUAAUGAGGCGAACCGGGGGAACUGAAACAUCUAAGUACCCCGAGGAAAAGAAAUCAACCGAGAUUCCCCCAGUAGCGGCGAGCGAACGGGGAGGAGCCCAGAGCCUGAAUCAGUGUGUGUGUUAGUGGAAGCGUCUGGAAAGGCGCGCGAUACAGGGUGACAGCCCCGUACACAAAAAUGCACAUGCUGUGAGCUCGAUGAGUAGGGCGGGACA